GACGAACGCUGGCGGCGUGCCUAAUACAUGCAAGUCGAACGCAUUUUCCUUGACUGUAGCUUGCUCCACCGAAAGAAAAUGAGUUGCGACCGGGUGAGUAACACCUGGGUAACCUGCCCAUCAGCGGGGGAUAACACUUGGACACAGGUGCUAAUACCGCAUAAUUCCAUUUACUGCAUGGUAUUUGGAUGAAAGGCGCUUUUGCGUCACUGAUGGAUGGAGUCGCGGUGCAUUAGCCAGAUGGUGGGGUAACGGGCUAGCCAGGCUGCGAAGCGGAGCCGACCGGAGAGGAUGGGCAGCCACCCUGAGACUGAGACAGGGCCCAGACGGCCUCGGGAGGGAGCAGGAGGGCAACGUCGGCAAGCGACGCAAGUCUGACCGAGCAGCGCCGCGUGAGGGAAGAAGGUUGUCGGGUGGGAAAACUCGGUUGUUAGAAAAGAACAAGGAUGAGAGUGGAAAGUUCAUCCCGUGACGGUAUCUAACCAGAAAGCCACGGCUAACUACGUG
rnacentral:rRNA from 1 species